AACAACGAUCCUAUGCACUCUUGGUGGGAAUCGGUCUCCAAAGCACGUUCCCGCAUCCAUUCCCUCGCUUCCAUCCUCCCUAACCAUCACCAAACUCUCUCCUCCCUCGCUGACUCCGAACGUCCUGCUCUCUCCCUACUCUCCUCCCCUUCUGCCUACUCCGCCCUCUCUUCUUCCCUCUCCGGUUCCCACUCCGAUCCCCUCUGUCACUGGCUCUACGACACUUUCCUCUCCUCCGACCCUCACCUCCGCCUCGUUGUUCUCUCCUUCAUCCCUCUCCUCUCCGGUCUUUACCUAUCCCGUGUUCACUCCUCGGAUCCCCCUUCCCUCGCCGGUUUCGAAGCUGUUCUCCUCGCUCUCUAUGCCUCCGAAACCAAAUCGCGCGCUGGUAAACCUCUUCUUGUUACAAUCCCCGAUCUCUCUCUUCCUUCCAUCUACCAUUCUCCUCUCCGUAAAAACCCAAUAUAAGAUAAUCGUUGAAAGGUUAAUAUAUUAAUUAAAAUAUUAGUUUAGAUAUAUAUUAAUUUUUCAAUUAUUAUUUAUAUUUAUAUUUUAUAUCAAAUAUAGUAUUAUUUUUAUUAAAAAAUAGAAUAUGUCAUAAUUUUUUUUCCUUGUACUGCUAAAUUACUACCGUCGUUGUUUUAUAGUGAUUGUUUUAAGAUAUUUACAAAUACCUUAAAAAUUGUUAAACUUUGACAAAAUUAUUAUUUUUUUGCUAUGUAAGUUUCUUGUGAUAUAUUCACCUUUUUAUUUAUGUAAAAAAAAUCUAUAUAAAGUAAUAAUUAAUAAUAUCUUUUUUCUAUUUUUAAAACAACAAUUAAAAAUAAUUUUAAAAAUAUUUAAUUUAGAAUAAAUAUUUUAAAAUAAAUUUUUAAUAAAAUAUGUCAAUUUAUAAUUUUUGUUAUUUAUAUUUCAUUUUUGUAAGUAACAAAUCCGUACACAAAAAAUCAGAUAAAAAUAUUGAAAAGAAAAAUAUAAAUUUUGAUGGACAUUAAACUUUUCUUUUUACAAAUGUAUCGAAUGAAAUAAGAGCAUAAAAUCAUAGUCUUAAGAUAAUUCCUAAACGUGUAAAAAAUCUGAAGUGAUUUGGUUGUCAUAUACAAAUUAAAUAAAGAAAGAAGAUGAUAAAAAGAAAAAGAAAUUAAGAAUAGGAAGGAUGAGACGUUAAGGCUAGGUAAUUAAUGUUCCUUAUUACGGCUUGCUUAGUAAUUAGUAGUGGGAGUAGACUAGUAGUAGUUAAUAAAAACGGCGAUGUUGGGUUUGGUGGUGCUUGCAAGACUGCAGUUGCAAUUUUGAGUUGAGUUGAAUUGAAUUGAAUUGAAUUUGCAGUUGUAUCCAUCGGAGAGGAGAGUACGAUGGAAUUGCAGCACCGUAACUCAUCAUCUCCACAAUGUUCCUCAAAUUCAAACUCCACCUCCUCAUCUUCCAUCACCACCAACCCUAACAACAGAAUCAACAACAACAACAACAACGAUCCUAUGCACUCUUGGUGGGAAUCGGUCUCCAAAGCACGUUCCCGCAUCCAUUCCCUCGCUUCCAUCCUCCCUAACCAUCACCAAAC
rnacentral:lncRNA from 1 species